UUAGGUCAUGAUAUUUAUAAGAGCGUUCACUUUUUUUCCAGACAAGAAGAAUAUUUAAACAGCUAGCGUGGAUCUCGUCUUCCAGUUUGGACCACUAUUUUGAGAACCCCAGUUGAAACUGCAGCAGUAACAUCCAAAUAAUCGUUCUGAAAUUGGUGGACAAAGGCGGCUGAAUUCAACCCCAGAAUAUGUUCUGUUCCUUAAAUGGCAUUCUCUUCUCCCAGUGUCUGUGUUUUCACAAGCAACUGAGACAUCGGGAUCCACUGAGGAAAGAUCUUGCCUCCAGACUGUAGGAAACGCCUCAGCAGCAGCAUAACCACGAUUUACACCCCGACAUCAAGGGCCUCUGCAUGCAGUAAAUGUCCUCAGCAUUCAGUGCAAUCACCGUCACUGUUCAUCAUGGAAGACCUGGAAGAACUGACACUGGAAUUCUACAUUUCCCCAUUAAAAUCCCAAAUCCGUCUCCUGUUAGAGCGGUGGUGAGAGGAGCCCCUUUCUCCAUCCAGUCCAGGGAGAGUUCUCCAAAAGCUCCUGGAUCAAGCUCCUCUAACUCAGCCUCAGUGAUUCCAUCCUCCAGAAAAUACUUUGAAGCCAACAGUGUAGCUGUGCUGUCUCCACAUUAUGUUUCUCCUCUGUUUACCGUGACAAGGAAUUACAACAGAGGAUCCACAAGAAAGAUGAGCUGGAAAUCCCACUCUUAGGGCAGUCCAGUCAGUAGCCAGGGGCCCAGAAGAGCCAAUGAGAUUGAGAUGCUGGGAGGGGAGGGCAACAGAGCACCAGGCUACCCAUGGGCCCAUUGUUUGCUCUUUUGUGCAUUUGAAGAGAAAUAGUGGCUCUGACUCCAAGAUGUUGUGGGAAAUUGAUCACUGCCAUCAUCUCACUGGCAAUGACUGUGAAGGGUAGAAAAAGCAGUAACUCCAGGUAAGGGGCUGAGAUGGAUUUGCCAUCAAACUUUUUUUUCAUUGAGUUUAUUGGUACUUUUUAGGUAUACAGUACAAUUACAUUCAUCACUGAGAUCUCAUACCUUUACAUAACAGAUCUUGGUUCUCAUUUUUCCCCAUACCCCUGCCGUCCCUUUACCCCCUCCAUCCUUCUCUAUUUGCAAAGAUUUUGUUUCUAUUUUUUCCUUUUCUCAUAUUUAUCAUCAAACUUAAUCUUCACUAACUUGGGCCCUUCCAGGUCCAAGGAGAUGCCUUAGCAAUUCUGUAGUCUUUCCUCUCUCCUCAUAAUUUCUGUUGUAUUUUUCUUAAAGAGAUCCUUCCAAAUUGUAUAGAUUUAGGCUCUACAAACUCCUGACUAACAUAUGCUAGGUAGUGGACCCAAUGUCCUCUAAAAAUGCCUUAAAAAUGUCAGCAGAUUUGGUCUGUCUUUUCAAAUUAUAUCAGUAAGAUUAUUAGAAGUGGGCUGGACAUUUAGCUCAGUGGUUCCCCCGCCUGCCAUGCAAGUGCAAGGACCCAAGUUCAAUCCCGACACCAAAAAAAAAAAAAAAAAAAGAUUAUUAGAAGUAAAAGAGAUAGGGUUUGGAGUGUAUGUUUAGUGGUGCAACACUUGCCUUGCAUGCUUAUGAGGCCCUGGGUUCAAUCCCCAGGAUCACACACACACAGUUAAAAAAUACAAGACACAGGUCCAGGAUUUAGUCCAUUGUUUCCACUGCCUUCCUCACAAGUACAAGGGCCUGAAUUCGAUCCCUG
ensembl:lincRNA